rnacentral:rRNA from 1 species
CCUACGGGAGACAGCAGUGAGGAAUAUUGGUCAAUGGGCGCGAGCCUGAACCAGCCAAGUAGCGUGAAGGAUGACUGCCCUACGGGUUGUAAACUUCGGUUAUAAAGGAAUAAAGUGAGGCACGUGUGCCUUUUUGUAUGUACGGUAUGAAUAAGGAUCGGCUAACUCCGUGCCAGCAGCCGCGGUAAUACGGAGGAUCCGAGCGUUAUCCGGAUUUAUUGGGUUUAAAGGGAGCGUAGAGGGGUUGUUAAGUCAGUUGUGAAAGUUUGCGGCUCAACCGUAAAAUUGCCAGUGAUACUGGCAGUCUUUCGUACAGUUGCGCUAGGCGGAAUUCGUGGUGUAGCGGU